rnacentral:rRNA from 1 species
UACGGGGGGGGCAAGCGUUGUUCGGAAUUACUGGGCGUAAAGGGCUCGUAGGCGGCCAACUAAGUCGGAUGUGAAAUCCCCAGGCUUAACCCGGGAACUGCAUCCGAUACUGGAUGGCUUGAAUCCGGGAGAGGGAUGCGGAAUUCCAGGUGUAGCGGUGAAAUGCGUAGAUAUCUGGAGGAACACCGGUGGCGAAGGCGGCAUCCUGGGCCUGCACUGACGCUCAUGCACGAAAGCGUGGGGAGCAAACAGG